AUGGCUGAUCAGGGGGGGAGUGUAGAUUUGUCUUGUUGGUGUUGUAAUUGGCUGAAUAUGGAUGUGGAGAGAGGAGAUUUUGUGUUGUGGAGCCGCGUAUGUAUUAUAUGCAGAAAUUUAUUGAAUAUGUUGACUGCUCACGAAAAUCGUGGUGCUGUGUGUUGUCAUUUAAGUCCUCGAUGCAGGCCUCAUUUUCACUUCUUAGCCGGAACUACUGGAUCAGAUGUGGAACUUGGUUUUGUUCUGGUGCAGGAAUGUUUUGUUUCAGACUGA